GAUUCUCUAUCAUCAGGCCUGUGGCCCGAGCUGAGGCCUAUAGGUUCUUUAUCUGUAAAUUGAGGGGUUUGGCUGAAAGACCUUUUUAAGUCCUUUCCAGUUCUAAAUCCAGGACCCCAAGGCUCAGCCCAGCAGUGUGUGGUCUACAUUCUGGCUUUGGCCUCCUGGUGAUUAGCCCCCAAGCCCUGAUGUGGUGUAAAAAUAAAAAGGCCCAGAGACAACCGUUCCCUGCCUCGUGUUCCCUCUUGUCCCAGAGAAGGUGUAACCUUAGGGCUAGUUCAGACUCUAGGCAAGGCCCAAACUUCCCAGAAGCCUCUUCUCUUCUCACAGGAACUAUUUUCUUCUACAACCAGACGCCAUCUUCCUGGGCUGGCUCCCCUGGAAACUCAGAGUGGGAGGGCCAGGCCUGAAAUCCUGUUCUCUGGGGUGAGGCCACCAGUCAGGGUUCCUGCCAAAUGCUAGGAUGAGCCGUCGCCCCUGGGCCUCUACUGUCCUGCCUGAUUUCCCUCCAUCUCCAGUGUGGCCUGUUUCCUGAUCCUGGUCCCUGCUUCUGAAAUCGGGGCCUGGUGUGGCCCCCUCAGCCUCAGAGGUCAUCAGGCCAAGCUGCCUCCCUGCCAGCUGUCUGGUCAGAGCCCUGAGCUUUCCAUGGUGGUACCACGGUACUCCAUUGCGGUUGCAGCCUUUGCCCUGGGAUCCCAGUCAACUGGAUUCUUCCCGUGGACCUCAGCACAUUUCUGGAGUUAUUACCUCAUGAUGACCCAAUGAUAGAUAGCUGCUUUCUACUGCAAAAUGAUUUAAGAUGCCCAUUUUGUGGAUAAAGAAAUCGAGGCUCAGAGGCUUGCCCAACUAGUAUGUCACAAAGCUGGAACUUGAAUCGAGGUUUUCUGAAUGCAAGAAGGUUUAUCUAACAUCUACUAUAAAGGAUCAUAGCAACAUUGAUUUCAAGCCAGAAGAGUCCUCAGUCAUCAUCUAAUUCAAUUCCUUCAUUUUACAGAUGAGGAAAUUGAGGCAUACAAGUAACUCGCUAACAGUAUAUAAGUAGUAAAUGGUGGAGGUGAUAUUUGAACAGUUCUUCUGACAAUUCUCUCUAACAGCUCGGGGCUAUUCUGGGCUGUCAAUGGAAGGGCAAAGUCAGCAUCCUUAGGAAAAGACAAGCAGCUCGAGAGACCCGAGAACUAUAGAUGUAUCAUCACCAGGGAUCUGAGGAGUCCGUUAUCCUUUGGGCUUUAUCAGUGGGUUUCUGGAUGGAGUUUGGGAAUACUAGAGAAGCAGGCAAAUGAAUGAAAAGCAGAAUGUUCUUGGCCAAUCAACGCACCUCUAGUUGGUCUGUAUCUUUGUCUGACGUAUCUGAUUUUAAAUUAACUGUGGAUUUCUCAGGGCCAAGACUGGCUGAAGAGUCUCUUUCGGAAGAAAGGGUUUUCUUUUCCUUUGAGGAGAGAAAAGAAAAAGCCAAUAAUAACAUGAGCCACAAACUCAGCUAAAAAGAGGUUCCUUUUGCCCCCCAGUGACCUAGAAAAUGCCAAACGAACUUUAUAUAUGUUCUAUUGUACUGCUGCCCAUGGAAGGGCAAAUCAUCACCCACUAUAUGCAGCUUGAGAGACCCAAGAACUAGAGAUGCUGCCGUCUCGGAGGCUCGGUUCAGGGAACUUCUGGAUGAAGUUUGGAGGUAUUAGAGAAGCAGGCAAAUGAAUGGAAAACAGAUUCUUGGCAAAUCAACGUACCUCUAAUGUGUCUGUAUUGCUGUCUGUGAUAUCUAGCUUUUUAGUUGUGGAUCCCUUAGAGUCAAGACUGGUGGAAGAGACUGUUCGGGAGAAAAUGGUUUUCUUUACCUUUGAAGACAGAAAAGCAAAAGCCAAUAACAUUAGCCACAAACUCAGCUAGAAAGGGAUUCCUUCUGCCCCACAGUGACCUAGAAAACCCCAACUGAACAUUGUAUAUGCGGUCAAUGGAAGGGCAAAAUAAUCGACAUUCUGGGGAAAACCCAAGCAGCUUGAGAGACCCUAACACUAUGGAUUCUGCCAUCUCCAAAUGGGCCCAGGCUCGGGAUCUGAGGAGUUUAUCAAUGAAUUCUUAGAUGGGGUUUGGAGUUAUUACAGAGCAUAUGAAUGAAUUAAAAAUGGAAGAGUUGGCAAACCAACACACCUCUGAGUUGUCUGCAUCUUUGCUUAUUAAAUCUAAUUGUAAAUUAAUUUUUAAUUUCUCACGGCUAAGACCAGCUAUAAAGCUUCUGGAGGCCCCUCUACUACCGUGUUUCUCAUCCUUUGAAGAGAGAAAAGAAAAAAAGUCAAUAACAUUAGCAACAUACAUGGAUGGGGUUUCAGGAUGUUAAAAGUAAGUGAAUGAAUUAAAAAUAGAAGAGUAUUGGCAAACCAA